rnacentral:sRNA from 1 species
UGGGAGUGGGGAUAGACUAGCUAUUUGCUUACUGGGUCUUCAAUUUUAAAGAAAUUAAAGUGAUUUUAAAAUAGUAGCUAGUAUUCCAUUGAUAUGUGUGUGUGUAUGUGUGUGUGUGUGUGUGUGUGUGUGUGUGUUUUGGUAUCAGGGAUUGAACUUAGGGGCACUCAACCACUGAGCCACAUCCCCAG